GUAUCUUUGCAAGCGAUAGGCGCCUAUAAGGCUGAAAAGGGAAUCUGGUGUAAAUCCAGAACUGUCCCCGCAACUGUAAGUGUGACGAACUGAGAUAGCCACUGUACAUUAUCAUGUAUGGGAAGGCCUCGUAGUAGGACGAGCACAAGUCAGGAGACCUACCUAAAGCUUGCUAAAGUU
rnacentral:ncRNA from 2 species